AGAGUUUGAUCCUGGCUCAGGAUGAACGCUGGCGGCAGCUUAUACAUGCAAGUCGAGGGGUUUCAUGAAGUAUCCAUACUUUGAUGGCGACCGGUGAACGGGUGCGGAACACUUACACCACCUUACUUUUAUUGGGGAAUAACCCUUAGAAAUUUGGAUUAUUACCCCGUAACAUGACCCAGUGUUCUCACUUGGUUAGUAUAGCUUCUGCGCUAAAAGAUGGGUGUGCAUAUGAUUAUAUAGUUGGCGAGGUAACGGCUCACCUAGUCUACGAUCAUGAUCUGAUGUGAGAACAUGAUCAGCCACACCGGAACUGAGACACGGACCCGACUCCUACGGGAGGCAGCAGUGAGGAAUAUUGGUCAAUGGGCGCAAGCCUGAACCAGCCAUGCCGCGUGAAGGAUGAAGGCCUUCUGGGUUGUAAACUUCUUUUAUCUGGGAAGAAAAUUACUGUUUCUACUUGAACCGACGGUACCAGAAGAAUAAGCACCGGCUAACUCCGUGCCAGCAGCCGCGGUAAUACCUGAGGGUGCAAGCGUUAUCCGGAUUUACUGGGUUUAAAGGGUGGGUAAGCCGUGUCAUUAAAUCAGUGAUGAAAUCUCCUAGCUUAACUUGUAAACUGCAAUUGAUACUAUUGAUCUUGAAUUUUGUUGAGGUAAACUGAAUAAGUCAUGUAGCGGUGAAAUGC
rnacentral:rRNA from 1 species